GAGUCAUUUUACGUGGUAGUGUGUGUGUGCUUGGCCUUGCGCAGUUUUAAACUAUGUCUCUUGGUUUACAAUGGUCACAGGACCAAAUACUUCUGUUCCUAGAAACACUACAGUCAGAGCCGGUUAUCUGGGACCCAAGCAACAGGGGACAUAAGGAUAGAAAGUCAUUGAAUGAUGCUUGGGCGCGCAUUUCAGACACUUUUGGAGUUUCGGUACCUUUGUUAAAGAGAAAGAAGGAGUCGCUCAAUGCGACUUACCGGGCCUACCGCAGGAAGGUGGAAUCAUCAAUGAAAUCUGGUGACAACGACGACUUUGUUUACCGUCCAACAUGGUUCGCUUACGAGUAUAUGGACAGCUUUUUGGGGCAGGUGUACAAUAAGCAAAUCAAAACGGAUCAACGUGAUGAAACCGAAAAAAGUAUAGAAGAAAUAGCAGAAGAAAGAGAAAACAGUCCACCUCCGAGAACCGAUCCAUUACGAAUUAGGAAAAUCAUCAAGCGUCCAAUUAUCCAUCUUAAACCAUCUGCAUCUGUAUCAUCUACACCUAACCCCGAUCUCCAAAUCGCUAGCAGACAAAUGACUGAAGCGUUUAACAAUCUGAAUAAAAUCAUAAAAAGUACACAAGGAAAAACUGACCCUGCGACGACUGAAGACGAGUACGACGUGUUCGGGAAAUUUAUCGCCAAAAAGCUAAGAAAGUUGCCUGAGCAUGAGAGAGAGGAUUUGAUGUGUGAUAUCCACGCCUUAUUCCGAAGAUCACACUACGAUCGGUCUAUGGACCAAGACCACGUUGUUGUGGUCCAGGAAUCGGAAGAAAUAUUGUAGGAUCAAAGGUGCUAGUGCUCGACGAUAGGAGAAAGGUCGCGGGACGCUUGGGGAGGCCUUUUUGCCACUGAUUACUGACUAAUUAGAAUAAAUAUCCUUGUUGAUUAUUUUUAAUAAAUGUGUAAAUUUUAA